CCCCUCUUAGGGUCACAGCUGGAGAGUUUCCAGUACUCUACCAGUCUCGGCUAGGGGAGAGAGUCAAGCAGAGGCCUGUCCAUUCCAUUCCUAGCUUGGGCAGAGGCUAGCGAGUGGAAGGCAAUCUGCUAUAAGU
rfam:Ornithorhynchus anatinus chromosome 2, whole genome shotgun sequence.